AGGUGGACGAGGAGGACGAGGAUUUGUGCUCGCAAUAUCCAGGUAACCCGAGGUGCUUAUCGGUGGUUGUUGGAGGUGGUUGGCGGUGGUUGGAGGUUGUCGGAGGUGGACGAGGAGAACAAGGUGGACGAGGAAGUCGAGGAUUUGUACACUGGUUAGAAUUAUCUGAUUUAAAAAGUGUCCUGCAAAACGAUUUUACGACGAAAAGUUUCCAAACUCCGAGAGUCGCAAAUUUUUGGCUGAUUUUGGGAUAUGCUGAUAUCGAUUUAUUCACACCCAGUAUCAACAUAAUUUUGCAACGAAUCAAAACUUACGGCUGAAAAACAUCAAAUUUGCACUGGAUUUUUAACGAGGUGGGAAAG